UACGUAGGGGGCAAGCGUUGUCCGGAAUCAUUGGGCGUAAAGAGCGCGUAGGCGGCCCGGCAAGUCGGCUGUGAAAGUCCAGGGCUCAACCCUGGGAUGCCGGUCGAUACUGGUGGACUAGAGUCCGGAAGAGGCGAGUGGAAUUCCCGGUGUAGCGGUGAAAUGCGCAGAUAUCGGGAGGAACACCAAUGGCGAAGGCAGCUCGCUGGGACGGUACUGACGCUGAGACGCGAAAGCCAGGGGAGCAAACGGG
rnacentral:rRNA from 1 species